GCGGAUUUUUCGCUAUCCAUAAAAAUUUAAACGGAAAUUGUCGUGUGCCAUGUGUGACUCUAAGUUCAGCGGCGGCCGUUAAAUAUUUUACACGAAAUAAACAAAAACAUUUAGCUCUGUGUUAAAAUGAAUUCAUCGACCGAUCCGACCCUUUCAGAUUUAAACACAAGUUAUACAAAUACACCGGAUGUAUACGCCACUAGUGUUAGCUUUGAUCCAUCCCCCGGAUUAGAGGAAGUGGGAGCCCACUAUGUCUGCGGAACCUUUAACUGCUCUCCAAAAGAGUUCGUGGCUUUUGUGCUUGGUCCACAGACCUUACCCCUUUACAAGGCCAUUUUGAUAACAAUUAUAUUUGGAGGCAUAUUUAUAACCGGGGUCGUUGGUAAUCUCUUAGUGUGCAUUGUGAUUAUUCGCCACUCGGCAAUGCACACUGCGACCAAUUACUAUCUCUUCAGCUUGGCUGUUUCUGAUCUGCUGUACCUAUUAUUCGGACUACCAACAGAAGUGUUUUUGUACUGGCAUCAGUACCCGGAUCUCUUUGGCAUGCCAUUUUGCAAAAUACGCGCAUUUAUUUCCGAGGCAUGCACUUAUGUCUCCGUGUUCACCAUCGUUGCAUUUUCCAUGGAGAGAUUCCUGGCGAUUUGCCAUCCAUUGCAUCUAUAUGCUAUGGUGGGCUUCAAGCGCGCGAUUCGGAUAAUAACAGCUCUAUGGAUUGCCAGUUUUAUAAGUGCCAUUCCAUUUGGACUGCUGUCGGAUAUUCAAUACCUUGACUACCCCGUAGAUCAUUCCCGCAUUGAGGAGUCGGCAUUCUGUUCCAUGCCGGACAAGAUUGUUAACGAAAUUCCAGUGUUUGAAGUAUCCUUUUGCAUAUUCUUUGUCAUCCCGAUGAUACUCAUCAUUAUACUCUACGGACGAAUGGGAGCCAAGAUUCGGUCUCGAACAAAUCAGAAAUUGGGCAAGUACCUGGCUUCUUCUAUUGACCCCAAAAAAACCGACUUCAGGGAUGUAUUCCAGGUGUUCAACAUGGCACCAACAACAGAGAAACGAGAAACUCUCAAUUGCGGAAGAAGACGCCGCUGUGGUGAUAACAUUUUUCGUGUGCUGGUUUCCGUUCCACCUGCAAAGACUCAUUUACCUGUAUGCCAAGAACAUGGAUAACUUCUUGGAUAUAAACGAAGCACUCUUCUCGAUUGCGGGAUUCGCGUACUACGUUUCAUGCACCGUAAACCCAAUAGUUUACAGUGUGAUGUCACGUCGCUAUAGGGUUGCGUUCAGGGAACUCCUCUGCGGAAAAGCAGUGGGCGCUUAUUA
rnacentral:misc_RNA from 1 species